rnacentral:lncRNA from 1 species
GUAUAUAUGUAAAAAAAUAAAAAAAUAUAUAUAUAUGCAAAAUAAGUAUUUUAUGAGGGUAUAUAUAUAAACAUCAAUUUUGAAAGGAUAUCCAUAUAAAUUUGAAUGUUUAAAAAGGUAUACAUGCAAAAAAUCCUAUUAUAUUUUUGGCAUUCAAGAGAGAGCGCAGAGUGAGAGGCUGGUAGUGAGUGAUGGUGAGAAAGGAGGAGAGGGAGUAAAGUAAAGUGCCGAUGGUGAGAGAUAGUGGGAAAAGAGGAGAGUGAGCAAAGAGUGAGGAGCCAAUGAUGAUAGAUGGUGAUUACCACACUGUUUCAGCACGGAUGAACUUGAGGAACCAAUAAAUAUGGUGAAAAAGGGGGAGGAA